rnacentral:rRNA from 1 species
UACGAAGGGGGCUAGCGUUGCUCGGAAUUACUGGGCGUAAAGCGCACGUAGGCGGAUUGCUAAGUCAGGGGUGAAAUCCCGGAGCUCAACUCCGGAACUGCCUUUGAUACUGGCGAUCUUGAGUUCGGGAGAGGUGAGUGGAACCGCGAGUGUAGAGGUGAAAUUCGUAGAUACUCGCAAGAACACCAGUGGCGAAGGCGGCUCACUGGCCCGAAACUGACGCUGAGGUGCGAAAGCGUGGGGAGCAAACAGG